GGAAGAAAAGGCACGGGUGAAUAGCCUGGGUUCUUGACGGUACCGGCGGAAUAAGCACCGGCUAACUACGUGCCAGCAGCCGCGGUAAUACGUAGGGUGCGAGCGUUAAUCGGAAUUACUGGGCGUAAAGCGUGCGCAGGCGGUUCGCUGUGUCCUGUGUGAAAGCCCCGGGCUCAACCUGGGAAUGGCAUGGGAAACUGGCGAGCUGGAGUGUGGCAGAGGGGGGUGGAAUUCCGCGUGUAGCAGUGAAAUGCGUAGAGAUGCGGAGGAACACCGAUGGCGAAGGCAGCCCCCUGGGCCAACACUGACGCUCAGGCACGAAAGCGUGGGGAGCAAACAGGAUUAGAUACCCUGGUAGUCCACGCCCUAAACGAUGUCGACUAGGUGUUGGGGAAGCGAUUCCUUGGUACCGAAGCUAACGCGUGAAGUCGACCGCCUGGGGAGUACGGCCGCAAGGUUAAAACUCAAAGGAAUUGACGGGGACCCGCACAAGCGGUGGAUGAUGUGGAUUAAUUCGAUGCAACGCGAACAACCUUACCUACCCUUGACAUGUCCGGAAGCCUGCUAAAAGGCGGGGGUGCCCGAAAGGGAACCGGAACACAGGUGCUGCAUGGCUGUCG
rnacentral:rRNA from 1 species